GAUGAACGCUGGCGGCGUGCUUAACACAUGCAAGUCGAACGGUGAAGGCGGAGCUUGCUCUGCUGGAUCAGUGGCGAACGGGUGAGUAACACGUGAGCAAUCUGCCCCUGACUCUGGGAUAAGCGCUGGAAACGGCGUCUAAUACUGGAUACGAGCUGCGAAGGCAUCUUCAGCAGCUGGAAAGAAUUUCGGUCAGGGAUGAGCUCGCGGCCUAUCAGCUUGUUGGUGAGGUAAUGGCUCACCAAGGCGUCGACGGGUAGCCGGCCUGAGAGGGUGACCGGCCACACUGGGACUGAGACAAGGCACAGACUCCUACGGGAGGCAGCAGUGGGGAAUAUUGCACAAUGGGCGAAAGCCUGAUGCAGCAACGCCGCGUGAGGGACGACGGCCUUCGGGUUGUAAACCUCUUUUAGCAGGGAAGAAGCGAAAGUGACGGUACCUGCAGAAAAAGCGCCGGCUAACUACGUG
rnacentral:rRNA from 1 species